rnacentral:rRNA from 1 species
UACGAAGGUGGCGACAGUGUUCGCGAAUUACUGGGCGUAAAGCGUGCGUAGGUGGUGAGUUAAGUCUGUCGUGAAAGCCCCCGGGUCAACCUGGGAAUGGCGAUGGAUACUGGCUCGCUAGAGUGCGGUAGAGGAGAGUGGAAUUCCCGGUGUAGCAGUGAAAUGCGUAGAGAUCGGGAGGAACAUCAGUUGCGAAGGCGGCUCUCUGGACCAGCACUGACACUGAGGCACGAAAGCGUGGGGAGCAAACAGG